UUCCUUUUACUAGAGGGAAUGGCUGCCAAAAAUGCAGUCUGCAAACUGGCACAGCAGUGCUCCAGUGAUGGAGCCACUCGCUGCUGCAGUUUGCACUGUUUACGGCUUUCUUUAUUCCGGCUAUUACCUGACAAACCUGGCAUGUCACCUGAGGCGUUUGUUCAGAGGUGCCGAUCCUGAGAGCCCAGAACCAACAGCAGACUCUUCUCUGGCUCCCUCUGCUCCUGGAGAAGAG